rnacentral:rRNA from 1 species
AUCUACAGCCAUACCACCCUGAAUGUGCCCAACCUUGUGUGAUCUCAGAAGGUAAGCAGGGUCAGGCCUGGUUAGUACUUGGAUGGGAGAAAUACAGUUGGUUUUUGCAUAUU